AGGAGAGACAAAAAGAGAGAUAGGUGAGACAAAAAGAGAUUAUUUGUAAAAACUCUCUUGCCCUCUCUUUUUGUCUCUCCUGUCUCUCUUUUUGUCUCUCCUCU
rnacentral:pre_miRNA from 1 species